UACGUAGGGGCAAGCGUUGUCCGGAUUUACUGGGCGUAAAGAGCGUGUAGGCGGUCAGGUAGGUCGGUUGUGAAAACUGGAGGCUCAACCUUCAGAGGUCGACCGAAACCCCCUGGCUAGAGUCCGGGAGAGGAGAGUGGAAUUCCUGGGUGUAGCGGUGAAAUGCGCAGAGUAUCAGGAAGAACACCCGUGGCGAAAGCGGCUCUCUGGAACGGUACUGACGCUGAGACGCGAAAGCGUGGGGAGCGAACAGG
rnacentral:rRNA from 1 species